GAAGCUUCCUCGUGAGUGUCCUAAACCGUUGUUUGCUGCCUCAUGUGAAGGUGCCCAGUCUCUGGUAACCUGGCACUUCACUUUUGAAAACCACCUUUUUUUCGGUCUCCCUUUGCUCCCCAGAUGCACCUAUUGGACCCCGGGCUGGCUGCAUGGCCGGCGUCUGGGUCAGGCCUCGCACACAGACGCUCCUGUCACUGUGAUAAAGAGGAGAAAAUGUCCCAGGAGAAAGGGACAUUUUGCGAGCCACAUCCACCACUUCUCUGCCCCCCCACACAGGCUGGUUCCCAGGCCCCGGGGUCCUGGUGUGGACCUGCCUGCCGUAAUUAACGCAGGUGCAGGACCUGAGCGCCUUGGUCCCUCCCAACACGUGAGAGAAGUUUGUGUGGUGAGGUUUGGACAGUGUCUGUGUUUCUGCCCUGAAUAGGGUUCCCUGGAAAAACUUUAUCCCUUUUUAAAUACUCCCUUUGGUACCGCUUUUAAGACUUUGCCGGUGGAACUUAACAGUGAUCAUUUUUUUGAAUCCAUUUUUAUAUUUGCUUUUUUAGAUUAACUCUUAAGUACUCCACGCUUCUGAAACGGGCGUAGGCACAGCGUCAGUUCUGUACAGUGCGGACGCAGCAGGACAGAAUCUCCCUGGGCAUCUUUCUGGAGCAUCAGUUUUACUGCAAGAUUUUAAGAAACAAAUUUAAUUGAUUUCCAAGUUAAGAAAUUAAACCUUGAAAACUAGACUAAAAAGUCAUCUGCACCUGACGUAACAGACUUUCUGCAGGAAGAAAACUCUAAGGAGAGCAUAUUGUCCAUUAUUAUAAAUAGUGAAAAUGAGAAAUCAUAGCAAGUCCCUUGAAAACCCUGCCCUGCCAGUCUUCUAAUAGGGCCUUGGUAUGGUUUUAUGUGUAUUUUCUUUUUGAAGUGUGCUCACCUUUUGAAUAUACAAAUUUGGGGUUUUGACCAAAUUUUGCAAGUUUUCGGCUAUUGUUUAUUUGCUUUUGUAUCACAUUUAAUUUUUCUGUCUCUCCCUCUCCUUCUCGGACUCAGUCAUUCCACAGGUCUCCAAGGCGCUUUUCAUUUUCUUCAAACUUGUUUCACUCUUCAGAUUGGAUGAUUUCUAUUGCUGUCUUCUGUUUCUACUGUUUAUAAACUCAACGGUCUUUUUAAUUUUUCAUUUCAUUAUCUCUCUAUUCCAUUCUUUUCAUCAUUUCCAUUUCUCUGCUGAGGCUCCACAUGAGUUAAUUCAUUAUGAGGAUGUUUUCCUUUAUCCCCAUGAACAUACUAUACUUAUAAUAGCUGCUCUCAAACCCUUGUCUGCUGAUGACAUCGUCUUGGACAUCUUAGAAUUAGCUUCUGCUGCCUGCUUUUUAUCUUGUGUAUAGAUUACAUUUUAACGUUUCUUCACACAUUUCAUGAAUUUUAAUAUUGUGUACUAGAAAUUAUAAAUAGUAGUUAUAGAGACUUUAAAUUCUGUUGUAUUCCUUUGAAGAGCAUUGUUACUUGAAGAGGGGUUAAUCUGACUGGAUUCAAACAGCAAUACCUACCUCCCCUACAGUGGACACAGUUGAAAUCCUCAUUCGGUGAACACACACACGCAUGUAUUGUAUAUAGUUGUGCAUUUCUGUGUAACUAUAUAUAUUUUAUCCAGAUUUUCUCGUUACCUGUGAGAGUGUUCAACAAGCUACUCUAGCAUUACUGAAAGUCAGAACCUCAGUUUUGUUUGCUUAUUGGAUUUGAAUACAUAAUGCCUUUGUUUUCUUUUGUAACAUUUUUCAAUUUGAAGUCUUAUUUUGUCCGAUAUUAAUAUAGGACAACCCAAAUCUCUUUUGCUUAUUAUUUGCAUGAAAUAUCUGUUUUUCUCUUUUCACUUUCAACCAGUUGUGUCUUUCAGUCUAAUGUGAGUCUUGUACAAACAUGAUAGUUGCAUCAUGUUUUUUAGUCUGUUUUGCUGAUCUCUGCCUUUUAAUUUGAUAGUUCAAUCCAUUUACAUUUAAAAUAAUUAUUCAUAGGUAGAUUUCUGUCAUUUUGCUAUUUGUUUUCUGUAUACCUUA
rnacentral:lncRNA from 10 species